rnacentral:rRNA from 1 species
UAGGGAAUCUUCCACAAUGGGCGCAAGCCUGAUGGAGCAACGCCGCGUGAGUGAAGAAGGUCUUCGGAUCGUAAAACUCUGUUGUUAGAGAAGAACAUGCAGGAGAGUAACUGUUCUUGUAUUGACGGUAUCUAACCAGAAAGCCACGGCUAACUACGUGCCUG